GGGCCCGUGGCUUAGCCUGGUUAUAGCACCGCUCUGAUAAGGCGGGGGUCGGGAGUUCAAAUCUCCCCGGGCCCA
rnacentral:tRNA from 1 species